UACAGAGGUCCCAAGCGUUGUUCGGAUUCACUGGGCGUAAAGGGCGCGUAGGCGGUCGGGUAAGUCUGAUGUGAAAUCUUCAAGCUUAACUUGGAAACUGCAUCGGAUACUAUUCGGCUAGAGGAAUGGAGGGGAGACUGGAAUACUUGGUGUAGCAGUGAAAUGCGUAGAUAUCAAGUGGAACACCGGUGGCGAAGGCGGCGUUCUGGACUGUUACUGACGCUGAGGAACGAAAGCCAGGGGAGCAAACGGG
rnacentral:rRNA from 1 species